UGUGAGGUGGUCGAUUAAAGUCGGUAGAUUGUAAAUCUAUGAAUGGGUAUGUACUCUCUCAUAA
rnacentral:tRNA from 1 species